GACGUAGGGGGCCAGCGUUGCUCGGAAUUACUGGGUGUAAAGGGUUCGUAGGCGGUGUGGCAAGUCGGGAGUGAAAUCUCUGGGCUUAACUCAGAGACUGCUUCCGAAACUGCUGUGCUUGAGUGUGGGAGAGGCGCGUGGAAUUGCAGGUGUAGCGGUGAAAUGCGUAGAUAUCUGCAGGAACACCCGUGGCGAAAGCGGCGCGCUGGACCACUACUGACGCUGAGGAACGAAAGCUAGGGGAGCAAACAGG
rnacentral:rRNA from 1 species